CCCUUAGAUGUUCUGGGCCGCACGCGCGCUACACUGAUGCAUUCAACGAGUCUAAAACCUGCUCUGAUAGGGGUGGGUAAUCUUUUGAAUGUGCAUCGUGAUUGGGAUAGAUGAUUGCAAUUUUUAAUCUUCAACGAGGAAUGCCUAGUAGGCGCAAGUCAUCAGCUUGCGUCGAUUACGUCCCCGCCCUUUGUACACACCGCCCGUCGCUCCUACCGAUUGGGUGUGCUGGUGAAAUGUUCGGAUCGGCCGUUUGUCGCGGUUUCCGCGUCAUGUGGCUGAGAAGUUCAUUAAACCCUCCCACCUAGAGGAAGGAGAAGUCGUAACA
rnacentral:rRNA from 1 species